CCAGACACAGCCCUCGGCUUCUUAAAUCUUUCCUUGGCUCAUCAUGGUAUCCUUCCUCCAUUGUUAAACCCUGAAAUGCUUGCGUAGUUCUGGUGCUGGUCUUGUUCUGAGAUGACUUCAUAUAAGGUACGCUUAAUGUCUCGACCUGGUUUUGAAGGAAUUUUAUAUAUCCAAUAGCCUCCAUUAGAACGGAUGCUGUGUCUGUCUUGCCAAAGGGUGCAACCAGCUGCUGCAAAGCUGCAAUUCUAUCUCCUAAUUUCUCUUUCCUAACCUUAAAGGGAGGGCAGGAAGCGCGUGACUCCAAUCGCGAUUUCUUGGUUACAGCUUGUGUUGCCUUUGGCUCCAUCAAGCUGUUGCUGGGCCUCUUUGCCUCCGAUAUUUUGUUGGUAGUGAAGGAAGAUGCUUUACUAGGGCUACAUGAUGGCAUUUGCAUACGAUCAGGACCGUAAGAAAUGCUGUCUUUAUAUAUGCCAAGAUUAUCAUGAGAAGGCUCACCAAAACUCCUACUAAAUCUUGUAGAAUUUAAGAGAUCCAAGGCCUGCAAGUUCAUGUCAAAGGAGCCUGAGAUCGAUGGUGUUGAUCGGUUCAAGUUUGAAAUGUUUAUACUCGGAUAUAUCUGGCUAAAGUUCCCUCUUCUGGGUAUGGAAUUUCCAAGGUUAGAACAGUCAUGAGCGGUAGAGUAAAUUUGUGCAUGCGAAAACUGAUGCCCAUUGAUCGGAAAACCAGAAGAAAUGGUCUUGAGCAAGAGCUUCUCGCUUAGAUCAGUCAUAUCUUUUUCCUCAUCUUUAAUGUAGCUUGUGGAAGAUAGAUGGGAAUCUUCAACAGUCGAUGGAUUGUUUAGCAUCUCUGUAAAUUUGGGGAAAGAUUCUGACAAUUCUUGUUUGAUUUUUACAAGCUGUAGGUCAUGAGCAGACUGGUUGGUGAAGCACCCUGCAUUACUAUUCCAAGGGAAUCCCAAAUCCUGGAUCAUGGAACUGUUGAGAGGAGGGAUUAAAAAUUCAUUUUUCUGCCUUGGAUUUAAGGAUACACCAUUACAGUUAGGAUUGAAGUUACCACUACUCAAAGUAAUGUUUUGGGUCCAAGCAUGAGGGCUUCCAGCUAGACGGGGCAGUUAAAGAAGAAGACCCAACAAGCUGGCCUUGAAGCUGAUGAUGCUGGUGAUGGAGAUUAGCAGACUCCAUAAUGACAAGAUUUUUUAAAGGGGCUUGAAAAUCCCAAGAUGAGUAAUUAAAAUUUUAACAACUAUCUAGCCAUAACUUGAUCCAGGAAUCUCCCUCACGCUCUAUUCAAAUAAACAGUAGUUCAGGUGACACCCACAUACCUUGUUGCUUUUGGGUAGCUAGCCACUUUUCUUAGUUUUGCUCUUUACUCUUUCAAGUUUCCUUCUUAUAAAGUAACCUUGAAAAGAAAGAAAGACAGCAUGAGUAACCCAUCUCCAUGCCCUCUUUCUGACUUGAAUUAUUUAUUUUCUGUUCCUUAUUUUCUUUUUCUUUUUUUUUU
rnacentral:misc_RNA from 1 species